UACGUAGGGCGCAAGCGUUAUCCGGAAUUAUUGGGCGUAAAGAGCUCGUAGGCGGCUCGUCGCGUCGACCGUGAAAACCCGCAGCUUAACUGCGGGCUUGCGGUUGAUACGGGCGGGCUAGAGUUCGGUAGGGGAGACUGGAAUUCCUGGUGUAGCGGUGAAAUGCGCAGAUAUCAGGAGGAACACCGGUGGCGAAGGCGGGUCUCUGGGCCGAUACUGACGCUGAGGAGCGAAAGCGUGGGGAGCGAACAGG
rnacentral:rRNA from 1 species